rnacentral:rRNA from 1 species
CCUACGAGAGGCUGCAGUGAGGAAUAUUGGUCAAUGGGCGUAAGCCUGAACCAGCCAAGCCGCGUGAGGGAUGAAGGUUCUAUGGAUCGUAAACCUCUUUUCUAAGGGAAUAAAGUGUGGGACGUGUCCUAUUUUGUAUGUACCUUAUGAGUAAGGAUAGGCUAACUCCGUGCCAGCAGCCGCGGUAAUACGGAGGGGCCGAGCGUUAUCCGGAUUUAUUGGGUUUAACGGGUGGGUAGGCGGCCUUUUAAGUCAGCGGUGAAAGUCUGUGGCUCAACCCUAGAAGUGCCGUUGAAACUGGGGGGCUGGAGUAUGUUGGAGGCAGGCGGAAUGCGGGGUGUAGCGGUGAAAUGCUUAGAUAUCACGAAGAACCCCGAUUGCGAAGGCAGCCAGCCAAGCCAUGACUGACGCUGAUGCACGAAAGCGUGGGGAUCAAACAGGAUUAGAUACCCUAGUAGUC